UACGGGGGGGGCAAGCGUUGUUCGGAAUUACUGGGCGUAAAGGGCUCGUAGGCGGCCAACUAAGUCACACGUGAAAUCCCUCGGCUCAACCGGGGAACUGCAUCCGAUACUGGUGGGCUUGAAUCCGGGAGAGGGAUGUGGAAUUCCAGGUGUAGCGGUGAAAUGCGUAGAUAUCUGGAGGAACACCGGUGGCGAAGGCGGCAUCCUGGACCGGUAUUGACGCUGAGGCGCGAAAGCCAGGGGAGCAAACGGG
rnacentral:rRNA from 1 species